rnacentral:rRNA from 1 species
AUAACGGUCCUAAGGUAGCGAAAUUCCUUGUCGGGUAAGUUCCGACCUGCACGAAAGGCGCAACGAAUUGGGCGCUGUCUCGACCAUGGACCCGGUGAAAUUCCACUAGUCGUGAAGAUGCGACUUACCCGCGGAAGGACGGAAAGACCCCGUGAACCUUCACUGCAGCUUGGCAUUGGCCGCUGGCCCGUCGCGUAGAGGAUAGGCGGGAGGCUUCGAAGCCCGGGCGCCAGCCCGGGUGGAGCCGACCUUGGAAUACCGCCCUCGGCGCGCCGGCGUCCUAACCCCAUGCCGUCAUCCGGAUGGGGGACCGUGCCAGGUGGGUAGUUUGACUGGGGCGGUCGCCUCCUAAAGGGUAACGGAGGCGCGCGAAGGUCCGCUCGGGACGGUCGGCAACCGUCCUCCUGAGUGCAAGAGCAUAAGCGGGCUUGACUGCGAGGCCUACAAGCCGAGCAGGUGCGAAAGCAGGCUCUAGUGAUCCGGCGGCCCCGCGUGGGUGGGCCGUCGCUCAACGGAUAAAAGGUACUCCGGGGAUAACAGGCUGAUCUUGCCCAAGAGUCCACAUCGACGGCAAGGUUUGGCACCUCGAUGUCGGCUCAUCGCAUCCUGGGGCUGGAGCAGGUCCCAAGGGUACGGCUGUUCGCCGUUUAAAGCGGUACGCGAGCUGGGUUCAGAACGUCGUGAGACAGUUCGGUCCCUAUCCUCCGCGGGCGCAGGAGAAUCGAGGGAGGCUGCCCCUAGUACGAGAGGACCGGGGUGGACGCACCUCUGGUGAACCGGUUGUCGACCAACGGCACGGCCGGGUAGCCACGUGCGGCGCGGAUAACCGCUGAAGGCAUCUAAGCGGGAAGCCGUUCCCGAGAUCAGUUCUCCUUCCGGUAAGGGCCCAGGUAGACUACCUGGUCGAUAGGCCGCAGGUGCAAGCACGGCGACGUGCUCAGCCGAGCGGUACUAAUAGCCCGAGCUCUUACCCGC